rnacentral:rRNA from 1 species
CUAGUAACGGCCGCCAGUGUGCUGGAAUUCGCCCUUCGGUGUGUACAAGGCCCGGGAACGUAUUCACCGCGCCAUGGCUGAUGCGCGAUUACUAGCGAAUCCAGCUUCACGGAGUCGGGUUGCAGACUCCGAUCCGAACUGAGACGUGGUUUGGGGAUUCGCUCCCUGUCGCCAGGUGGCUUCCCUUUGUCCACGCCAUUGUAACACGUGUGUCGCCCCGGAUGUAAGGGCCGUGCUGAUUUGACGUCAUCCCCGCCUUCCUCGCAGCUUACGCUGGCAGUCCCACCAGAGUCCUCAGCCUAACCUGUUAGUAACUAGUGGCAAGGGUUGCGCUCGUUAUGGCACUUAAGCCGACACCUCACGGCACGAGCUGACGACAACCAUGCAGCACCUCGCAAACGGCUAUUGCUAGAAAAGGUGUUUCCACCUCGGUCCGAAUGCGUUCAAACCCGGGUAAGGUUCCUCGCGUAUCAUCGAAUUAAACCACAUGUUCCUCCGCUUGUGCGGGCCCCCGUCAAUUCCUUUGAGUUUCACCGUUGCCGGCGUACUCCCCAGGUGGAUCACUUAACGCUUUCGCUGUGCCGCUUACAAUGUAUCGCAAACAGCUAGUGAUCAUCGUUUACUGCGUGGACUACCAGGGUAUCUAAUCCUGUUUGAUCCCCACGCUUUCGUGCAUCAGCGUCAGUCAUGGCUUGGCAGGCUGCCUUCGCAAUCGGGGUUCUGCGUGAUAUCUAAGCAUUUCACCGCUACACCACGCAUUCCGCCUGCCUCAAACAUACUCAAGCCUCCCAGUUUCAACGGCAAUUCUAUGGUUGAGCCACAGACUUUCACCGCUGACUUAAAAGGCCGCCUACGCACCCUUUAAACCCAAUAAAUCCGGAUAACGCUCGGAUCCUCCGUAUUACCGCGGCUGCUGGCACGGAGUUAGCCGAUCCUUAUUCAUAAGGUACAUACAAAAUAGGACACGUCCCACACUUUAUUCCCUUAUAAAAAGAGGUUUACGAUCCAUAGAACCUUCAUCCCUCACGCGACUUGGCUGGUUCAGGCUCGCGCCCAUUGACCAAUAUUCCUCACUGCUG